rnacentral:rRNA from 1 species
UACGUAGGGACCAAGCGUUGUUCGGAUUUACUGGGCGUAAAGGGCGCGUAGGCGGCUUAACAAGUCACUUGUGAAAUCUCCGGGCUUAACCCGGAGCGGCCAAGUGAUACUGUUGUGCUAGAGUGCGGAAGGGGCUACUGGAAUUCUCGGUGUAGCGGUGAAAUGCGCAGAUAUCAGGAGGAACACCAAUUGCGAAGGCAGCUCGCUGGGACGUUACUGACGCUGAGACGCGAAAGCGUGGGGAGCAAACAGG